rnacentral:lncRNA from 1 species
GCUAGGUUAAUGUUACAUCAUGAACUAUGGCUAGUUUGUUAUGUUAACACAAGGCUUGUCACAAGGAUUGAUAUAACAUAAUCCUGAUGCAUAGAAGAUGCUUACGGUAAUUUUGAAUAUACUGCUUUGUUGUGUUAACACAAGGGCAGUUAUAUUAGAAUUUAACUGUAUUAAAAUGAAGGGUCUAACUUAACUAAAAUAUUAUAGCUUGUUGUGUUAACACAAGGCUAAU